rnacentral:rRNA from 1 species
UACAUUGAAAAGAUUUUUGUGCAAAUCAUUAUAAGUUGAACAAUUUUUAUUUAUUAAUUUUAUUGUUUUCGUUUCGGACUACCAAAAAUAAUUUUAUAGGUUUAAGUUUUAGUAUUGUAUAAAGAAACAAUGAUUUUUAUAAUAGAUAAUUAGUAUUGUGAAAGAACAUUGAAAUAGUUGAAAAAUUUUUGUGGAAAAAGAAAACUUUGUUUGUUGUACCUUGUGUAUCAGGGUUGUUUAAUUGAAAAAUAAAAAUAUAUUUUUCCCGAUUUCAAAAGAGUUAAAAAAAUAUAAAAGUUAUUGUAGCAAAACUAUUUUUCAUAUUUUAUUGGAGACGAGACGUCAUUCGUUUUUGAAGGUAUCUGGUUAUUCUAGAAAUAAAUUUAACUUACAACAACUUAAUUUUACAGAUUAUUGACAUCUGUCCUUUUAUUGUGUUGAAUAACCUAGGGGAUAAGCUUUAGGUUAGAAUAUCAAAAGAAAUGAUUAAUUUUUAAAAAGUAUGCUUAGAAUUAGCAAUCUUUAACAAGUUUGUUAUAAAUUAUUUAUUUAAAAAAUUUUUUACUUUUCUUUGAGUUUUUAUAGAAUAGAUCUGAUUAAUUAUAAAUGAGAUGUAAUUAUGAACAAAUUAGUAUAUAAUAUUGUAUAAUUAAAUUGCUUUGAAAAGUUUUAGUAAAGAACUCGGCAAAACUAAUAUUCGCCUGUUUAACAAAAACAUGUCUUUUUGUAUUAAAUAUAAAGUCUAACCUGCCCACUGAGAUUUGAAUGGCCGCAGUACACUAACUGUGCAAAGGUAGCAUAAUAAUUAGUCUUUUAAUUGAAGGCUGGAAUGAAUGGUUGGACGAAAUAUUAACUGUUUCAUUAAAAAUUUUUAUAGAAUUUUAUUUUUUAGUCAAAAAGCUAAAAUUAUAUUAAAAGACGAGAAGACCCUAUAAAGCUUUAUAACUAAUUCAAAUUGAACUAUUUAGAGUGUUAAAGUUUUCUUUCUGUUAGUUAUUUUAUUGGGGUGAUAUUGAAAUUUGAAAAACUUUCAUUUGUUUAACCAUUGAUAUAUGACCUAUUGAUCCAUUUUAAUGAUUAUAAAUUUAAGUUACUUUAGGGAUAACAGCGUAAUUUUUUUGGAGAGUUCAUAUCGAUAAAAAAGAUUGCGACCUCGAUGUUGGAUUAAGGAAUAAGUUUAGGCGCAGCCGUUUAAAUAGUAA